GAUGAACGCUAGCGGCAGGCCUAAUACAUGCAAGUCGAACGGUAUUAAGAGGCUUGCUUCUUAUGAGAGUGGCGCACGGGUGCGUAACACGUAUGCAACCUACCUUCAACUGGGGGAUAGCCUUCCGAAAGGGAGAUUAAUACCGCAUAGUAUAAUUGAGUGGCAUCACUUGAUUAUCAAACGUCAGGGUUGAAGAUGGGCAUGCGUCCGAUUAGUUUGUUGGUGAGGUAACGGCUCACCAAGACUACGAUCGGUAGGGGAUCUGAGAGGAUGGCCCCCCACACUGGUACUGAGACACGGACCAGACUCCUACGGGAGGCAGCAGUAAGGAAUAUUGGUCAAUGGACGGAAGUCUGAACCAGCCAUGCCGCGUGCAGGAAGACGGUCCUCUGGAUUGUAAACUGCUUUUGUUAGGGAAGAAACUUCCGUACGUGUACGGGACUGACGGUACCUAAAGAAUAAGGAUCGGCUAACUCCGUGCCAGCCGCCGCGGUAAAAC
rnacentral:rRNA from 1 species